CGGACGAUCUGAUAAAAGCGGCCAGCAUCUGGCAGAUGGGGUUGUUUCUGCUUGUGGACUUGUGGGCCAAGCUGGCCAGGAAGGCCACCAAGCUCCACCAUACCUGCAGGGUGGUGGCCAACAAGGUGACCGACAUGGCGAGCACUGCCACCGCCCGGGCCAGGGAGCUGCAGGCCGAGGCUUCCUGUGAUGGCACAGCUCAGGAAAACAUGGUGGAGCUGGGUCAGGCCCUGGGUGGGGAGGAGGGGGCUGAAGUGGUUGCCGGGACUGAAGCCCAGGUGAGGAGAUAUGCCGUGGAGGCUGCCAGCGAGGCAAGAAGGGUGAGACAGCGGCUGGAGGUGGCCCUGGGGCUGCUGGAGCGCUUGGUGGCCGCGUGUGACGAAGCCACCGCCUUCCCCCGGGAGCUGCAGCGCCUGCUCAGGGGCACCGAGGCUGCCGUGAAGAGGACAAAUGAGGCAUCCCCCCAAUGUCCCUCUAUGUGAAGACGGCUUGGUGGCCAAGGUGGCUGUGGCCGAGCGGCUGUGGGAGGCCAACGCCCGCCUGGUCAAGGAUCACCUGCUGGGGACACUUCAAGACAUCAUCAAGUUCUAUUUCACUGGUGGGGGGUGGCAGUGGGAACAAGAGGCUGACCAAGGGACGGAGGGGCAAAGAGGACCCCUCAGGGGCACGGGGCCACUGCAGGAGGCCAUAAAUGCCACCAGGUCCUUGACACCUCCACAGCUGCAGGCGCUGGUGGUUGUGGUGGCCACCCUGGGCGAGGUGGUGGCCACUGUGCCGAGGCCACGCAGGGCCAAGUCCCUAGACUCCCUGCAUGAGGACCUGAGGAGGUUCACCCGGAGCCUCUGUGCGAUCCUGAACCACAGCAGUGUCACCUCCCUGGGCCACCGUGGUGUCCCCUCCCUGGGCCAGGCCCUGGCCACCGUCGGGGCCACCCCUGGGACCACCUGGGCCGAUGUGAGAGCUGUGACCAGCGCCUGGCGGGAGUUGGUGGCCAGGCUUGUGGACAGCUGGGACUGGCUGGCCAGGGUGGCCAUCAAGCUCCGUAAGAACAUGGUGGUGGAGCAGCAGGUGGUGGUCCUGGAUGAGCAGGAGGUGGCCUUGGAAAUGGCCACGCUUCAUGCCCAGGUGGUGGCAACCAUCAAUGAGAUCAUGGCAGAGGCUGGGGUGGCCACCAGGAGGGGACAUUGGGUGGACGAGACCCUGGAGCUGCUGCAGCACUUGGUGGCCACGUGUUACAGAGCCACCUUGUUCAACUGGAACUUGGAGUGGCGGCUCAGGGACAUCGAGGCCAUCCUGAAGGGGACAAAUGAGGUGUCCCCUGAUGUUCUCCAGGCCUUGGUGGACAAAGUGGCCGAGUUUGAGUGGCUGUGGGGGGCCAGCACCCGCCUGGCCAAGGAUCACCUGCUGGGGACACUUGGGGACAUCCACAACCUCUUGAGUCCCUGUGGUGACCAUGGUGGCCCCGGCAGCUGCGCGGUGGCCGAGCGGUGCCAAAGAGCCAUCAAGGACAUCCCAAGGCUGCUGUUGUGGUGGUGUUUGCAGGUCCCAGGAGAAGGGAGGAGAAGGGAAGAGAUGUGAAUCUGACUCCGUGUUUCAGAAGGCUGAUUAAUUAUUUUCUGAUAUAAUAUUAAAUAAUAUCAGACUGCUCUCCUAAAACUAUAUUACAAGAAAUAGAGAAAGGUCACAUCAGAAAGGUAGAAAAGAAUGAACAGUAAAAACCUGUGACAGAUCAGAGAAUCUGACACAUCUGGCUGUGAUCGACCAUCAGUUAAAAACAAUUCAUGUGCUUGGAUUAAAAGUUCUCCAAAUCGCAUUCCAAAGCAGCACAACAUGGAGAAGAUGAAGCUUCCCAGGAGAAAAAAUCCCAGCAAAAGGGAUUUUUCAUAAAAUAUCACAGUGAUGUGCUGUGGGGACAGUGAUGUCACCGCUGUGAUGUCACUGGGACAGUGAUGUCACUGAGAGACUUGUAGACACUCGAGUGCCACGGUCUCCCUAUGUCACCAAGAGUCCCUCAGGUGCCACCAGCUCCUCAUGUCAACCAAACCCCCCCAAGUGCCACCAGCUCCUCAUGUCACCAGCUCCUUGUGUCACCGAGAGACCCCAAGUGCCACCAGCUCCUCAUGUCACUGGCUCCUCAUGUCACCAAGAGCCCCUCGGGUGCCACCAGCUCCUCGUGUCACCAAGAGUCCCUCAAGUGCCACCAGCUCCUCUAAUGCUACCAGCUCCUUGUGUCACAGAGAGACCCCGAGUGCCAUCAGCUCCUUUAUUGCCUCCAGCUCCUUGUGUCACCGAGAGACCCCGAG
rnacentral:lncRNA from 1 species